UACGUAGGGGGCAAGCGUUGUCCGGAUUUAUUGGGCGUAAAGCGUUUGUAGGCGGCUUUCUAAGCCAGAGGUGAAAUCCUGGGGCUUAACCCCAGAAUUGCCAUUGGGACUGGAAAGCUAGAGAGUGUUAGAGGUAAGUGGAAUUCCUAGUGUAGGAGUGAAAUCCGUAGAGAUUAGGAGGAAUAUCGAUGGCGAAGGCAGCUUACUGGGACAUUUCUGACGCUGAGAAACGAAAGCGUGGGGAGCAAACAGG
rnacentral:rRNA from 1 species